rnacentral:rRNA from 1 species
UACGAAGGGUGCAAGCGUUAAUCGGAAUUACUGGGCGUAAAGCGUGCGUAGGCGGUUUCUUAAGUCUGCUGUGAAAGCCCCGGGCUCAACCUGGGAAUGGCGGUGGAUACUGAGGAGCUGGAGUACGGUAGAGGAAGGUGGAAUUCCCGGUGUAGCGGUGAAAUGCGUAGAGAUCGGGAGGAACAUCAGUGGCGAAGGCGGCCUUCUGGACCAGUACUGACGCUGAGGCACGAAAGCGUGGGGAGCAAGCAGG